rnacentral:tRNA from 1 species
GCUCUCGUAGUGUAGAGGUUGUCACGUCUGCUUUACACGCAGAAGAUCCCAGGUUCGAGCUCUGGCGAGAGCA